CGAGACACGACACUAUGUUCAAGUUUACUGUCCUACUAAGCCUACUACUAAACGCAUCCUUCUUGCGCGGUAGGUUUGUGGGCAGACUUCAGAACUAAGUUUCUCGCCACACGAUACAAAAACCCGCGCUGAUGCGCGGGUUUUUUU
rfam:Erwinia carotovora subsp. atroseptica SCRI1043, complete genome